rnacentral:lncRNA from 1 species
GUAGGAGCAGAGAUGGGGAGCUGGAUCCGCGCAGAACCCCGGAAAAGCGCCAGCAGGAUUGCACCGAGAACAAAUCCUCCGCACCCUCGCCCAGGGCUGGGGCGCAGUGCUCCUCUAGCUGGGCGGUCUCUGUGCUCCAAACAAGAAGGCAAAGCGAGUUCAGAUCCUGCUGCCCAUGAUCAGCAAUUUCCCUAACACUGACUUCCGGAUCCUUCACUCUUUGAUCCUGACCCAAGCCACUCGUGCCACUAGGAGCGCAUGCCUAUGGAAUACUCGCUCCUGUCUCCUUGUGGUGAAGCCUUCCGCUAAUGCCCAGAGCCUCCCAGGCUGGAUUAGUGGGUAGGAACAAAACAGGAUGGUGGAGACAAUCGGCAGAGCAGCAGCGUCUGUUUCCUCGGGAUUCUUCCCAGGAACCCUAUUCGAAGCCAUUCCUUCUAAAAGUUUGCAGCCAGUCUCUCUUUCCUUUGUUGGUUUUAAGAGGAGGCAGUAGAGCUACCUACAUACAAAAACGAAAGCCUGAUACUGGUAACCU